rnacentral:rRNA from 1 species
AUGGCUCAGACGAACGCUGGCGGCGUGCCUAAUACAUGCAAGUCGAGCGAGCGGAACUAACAGAUUUACUUCGGUAAUGACGUUAGGAAAGCGAGCGGCGGAUGGGUGAGUAACACGUGGGGAACCUGCCCCAUAGUCUGGGAUACCACUUGGAAACAGGUGCUAAUACCGGAUAAGAAAGCAGAUCGCAUGAUCAGCUUUUAAAAGGCGGCGUAAGCUGUCGCUAUGGGAUGGCCCCGCGGUGCAUUAGCUAGUUGGUAAGGUAAAGGCUUACCAAGGCGAUGAUGCAUAGCCGAGUUGAGAGACUGAUCGGCCACAUUGGGACUGAGACACGGCCCAAACUCCUACGGGAGGCAGCAGUAGGGAAUCUUCCACAAUGGACGCAAGUCUGAUGGAGCAACGCCGCGUGAGUGAAGAAGGUUUUCGGAUCGUAAAGCUCUGUUGUUGGUGAAGAAGGAUAGAGGUAGUAACUGGCCUUUAUUUGACGGUAAUCAACCAGAAAGUCACGGCUAACUACGUGCCAGCAGCCGCGGUAAUACGUAGGUGGCAAGCGUUGUCCGGAUUUAUUGGGCGUAAAGCGAGCGCAGGCGGAAGAAUAAGUCUGAUGUGAAAGCCCUCGGCUUAACCGAGGAACUGCAUCGGAAACUGUUUUUCUUGAGUGCAGA